UUCUUUAGGAAUACAGAGUAUAAAAAUCAAACAUUUGCUUCAGAAUUUAUUCUUCUGGGAUUGACAGAUGAUCCAGAACUGCAGCUCAUCCUCUUUGGAAUUUUCCUCUUCAUGUAUCUGGUCACAGUGCUAGGCAAUCUCAUCAUCAUCUGCGCAGUCAGUCUUCAUCCCAAACUCCAUACCCCAAUGUACUUCUUUCUCUCGAACCUGUCCUUCACUGACAUCUGCUUCAUCACCAGCACAGUCCCCAAGAUGCUGGUGAAUAUCCAGAAACAGAACAAUGCCAUCAGUUACCCAGAUUGCCUUACACAGAUGUACUUUGUUAUUUUUCUUGGUGGAAUGGAAAACUUUCUUCUUGCAGCAAUGGCUUAUGAUCGCUAUGUGGCCAUCUGCCAUCCACUUAGAUACACGGUCAUUAUGAAUCCAAGCAUCUGUAUUCUGCUAACUUUGUUGUCAGUGCUCAGUAGCACGAUAGAUGCCCUGCUACACAGCCUGUUGGUUUUGCGACUAUCCUUCUGCACAUACUUGAAAAUCCCCCACUUUUUCUGUGAACUUGCUCAUAUAAUCAAGCUGUCAUGUUCUGACACUCUCAUCAAUAACAUAGUGGUAUACUUGGCAACUUUCAUAUUUGGUGGACUUCCAUUUUGGGGCAUUAUUUUAUCUUAUGUUCAAAUUGUCUAUUCAGUUUUGAAAAAGCCCUCAGUAAGAGGUAGUUACAAGGCCCUUUCCACCUGUGGGUCACACUUGUCAGUUGUUUCCCUGUUUUAUGGCUCAGUGAUUGGGGUCUAUAUCAGCUUCGCAGUGACUGACUCAUCUAGAAAGGCUGCAGUAGCUUCGGUAUUGUAUACUGUGGUCCCUCAGAUGCUGAACCCCUUUGUUUAUAGUCUCAGGAACAAAGACAUGAAAGAAGCCGUGAGGAAAUUAUGUGGUGGGAUUCUGUAA